CCCUUAGAUGUUCUGGGCCACACGCGUGCUACACUGAGUGGAUCAGCGGGUCAGGUUGCGCGAAAGUGUUUCCUAAUCUUUAAAUCCGCUCGUGAUGGGGAUUGACGGUUGCAAUUUUCCGUCAUGAACGAGGAAUACCUUGUAAGCGCGGGUCAUCAUCCCGCGCUGAAUACGUCCCUGCCCUUUGUACACACCGCCCGUCGCUCCUACCGAUUGAGUGGUCCGGUGAGGCUUUGGGAUCUGAGCGGAAAGAGCGUUUCGCUGUUUCUGCCCGGAAAACUCAGUCGAACCUUAUCAUUUAGAGGAAGGAGAAGUCGUAACA
rnacentral:rRNA from 1 species